AUCUAGAUGACGAAUCCGAAAUAGGACGAAAUGCGCAUCCUGGAU
rnacentral:hammerhead_ribozyme from 1 species